GCAUAACGCGAAGAACCUUACCAAGGCUUGACAUGCAUUUCUAAGCGCGUGAAAGCGCGUGACCCUUCGGGGGACUUGCACAGGUGCUGCAUGGCCGUCGUCAGCUCGUGUCGUGAGAUGUUGGGUUAAGUCCCGCAACGAGCGCAACCCUUGUGACUAGUUGCCAGCACGUUAUGGUGGGAACUCUAGUCAGACUGCCCAGAUCAACUGGGAGGAAGGUGGGGACGACGUCAGGUCAGUAUGGCCCUUACGCCUUGGGCUGCACACGUACUACAAUGCCCAGCACAAUGAGAACCGAGACCGCGAGGUGGAGGAAAUCUAAAAAACUGGGCCCAGUUCGGAUUGGAGGCUGCAACUCGCCUCCAUGAAGUUGGAAUCGCCAGUAAUGGCGCAUCAUCUACGGCGCCGUGAAUACGUUCCCGGGUCUUGUACACACCG
rnacentral:rRNA from 1 species